AUGUACAUGCUUACGGGGUAAGAACUUUCCCUCUUGUUUACGUGAGUGGUCAGUCUAGGUACGAAAUUCAUUAUGUUUUCCUUGGAUUUACUCGAUGUAUUGAAACCCUUUCCAUUUUUUCUCAGAGAUAGAUCGUUGGGUUAUUUGGUUCAUAUAAGUUGGUAUCAGAACGUCGUUUGGUUCAAGAACUAUGUAUCCUUUAAAUUUCAGUCUUUCAAUUUCAAAGUUCCAAAAAGAUAUAAAAAACCCUAAACAUAUUUCUUGGCCGAGUUUUGUUGUUUGAUUUUGGUUUUGUUUGUUCUCAAAUUUCUUACCUAUCUUAGCUUUUGGAAUUCGAUUAUUGUGUAUCUAUUAUGAUUUAUUUUUGGUGAAAAGAAACAUGUGAAAAUUUUAAAGAAUGACAAAAAACGCAAAGAAAAGAAAAAGAAAAGAUAAACCAAAUCGGCAAUCAAGUGGUCUCAAAAGCCUUGACCCGACCACAUCAUCACAAACAUAGAGCUUAGUAUUUCCAUCUUAAAAAAUUUGAAUCUGGAAUUUGUCGGAAAUUGCGCCUUGCACUAUCAAAUACCUUCCUAUUGGUACUUGACCCUCUGUGACACCUCGACUUCGACUCAACCGUUGGUUCGAGUAUUAGGGUUGAACCAGCUGAGUUUGGGUUUGAUAAGUGGACCAUCACGGGCAUGAACAGUAGCCUGUCACGGGCGUAGUUGCCAAACUGACCACGAUCGUGGUCAACAAACAGCCACAUGCGUGUGACCAUUAGAAGAUCAUAACCGUGACCAACAAUAAAUCACAGACAUGAUGAUCGGGCAGUCAUGGGCGUGAUGGUAAGCCAGUCACGGGCGUGGUGGACUUAUUAUAUAAGCCAGAAUCGCGAUAAGAGAUUUAAAAAAUACAUAAAACAAAGGAGAACCAUCUACGUUCCCCAUGAGAUGAAGGAGAUAUGAUGUGCUUGAUUAUCGACACAUUUGUUCUCGUUGUAAACUACAUUUUUGUUUGUCUAGGUGCGUCAACUUGAAAAAAUUCAUAACGUUUAUGCUAAUUUGGUUCCACCUUGGCCCCGUUGGCCGUUUUACGUUGCUUUGUAUAUUUUUGGUACAUUUCAGGUGUCAUAUGACAUCUCGGGAUGAACCAAGACAAGAAGGGGAGGCCAGAACAACUCAUCACUCGGAAGUCCAAUUGAUGCAAGGUUAGUAGAGUUCACUACAAAAAAAUUGUCGAUUUGUCGCAAGCGAUUGGUCAUAGGAAACUAGUCCUUCGACCGGCUUUGUCGCAGGUAUGUCUAAAUUUCAUAGGCGUCCGCGACAAGCCCGUCGCAGGCAGCCCGCGACAAAGCAAUGACAGGGACAAAGCUAGUCACGGGCGCCCACGACAAGGGCGUAUGCCCUCGCCAAGAACUUUUGCGCCAACGGCCAACCCUCCUACCUACGACCAAGUUAGAGAAUGGCUACCCUUUAGGCGCGCCCCUCCUCAUUCCACACACUUAUCCAAAAGUUCUCUCCCAAAUUCCUCUCUCCGUCUCCCAAAUUUCUCUUAAAGUUCUUCUUUCUUGUUUUCGAUCGUUGCUGUCGCCAUCAAUUUUUUGUCAAAAUCGUCAUUAUUACUUUGCUACCACUACGGUAAACCAUACGAGAUCUAUUUGGUAAGUGUAAAAACUUCUAUUUUACUCAAUUUCUGUUUUGAUAAAUGGUUAUAUUCUUUCUAUGAUUGUUUUGUUGUGAAAGC
rnacentral:lncRNA from 1 species